UCUCUAAGCCACUCCGAGAGUGAUUUACAUAAACUUCUUUGAGUCAGAUAGAGGUCACUUAGAUAAACUGACGUGAAUUUAUUACUAGAGUUUUCAACAUUUUAUUUACUCAAUAAAGAUGAUACCCCAUGAUCAUAU